CACUCCUGCGGGAGGCAGCAGUGGGGAAUUUUGGACAAUGGGCGAAAGCCUGAUCCAGCAAUGCCGCGUGUGUGAAGAAGGCCUUCGGGUUGUAAAGCACUUUUGUCCGGAAAGAAAUCCUUGGCUCUAAUACAGUCGAGGGAUGACGGUACCGGAAGAAUAAGCACCGGCUAACUACGUGCCAGCAGCCGCGGUAAUACGUAGGGUGCGAGCGUUAAUCGGAAUUACUGGGCGUAAAGCGUGCGCAGGCGGUUUGCUAAGACCGAUGUGAAAUCCCCGGGCUCAACCUGGGAACUGCAUUGGUGACUGGCAGGCUAGAGUAUGGCAGAGGGGGGUAGAAUUCCACGUGUAGCAGUGAAAUGCGUAGAGAUGUGGAGGAAUACCGAUGGCGAAGGCAGCCCCCUGGGCCAAUACUGACGCUCAUGCACGAAAGCGUGGGGAGCAAACAGGAUUAGAAACCCCGGUAGUCCCAUGA
rnacentral:rRNA from 1 species